CCUACGGGUGGCAGCAGUGGGGAAUAUUGCGCAAUGGGCGAAAGCCUGACGCAGCGACGCCGCGUGAGGGAUGAAGGUCUUCGGAUCGUAAACCUCUGUCAGCAGGGAAGAACGGUCACGGUGCUAAGCAGCAGUGAAUUGACGGUACCUGCAAAGGAAGCACCGGCUAACGCCGUGCCAGCAGCCGCGGUAAUACGGAGGGUGCGAGCGUUAAGCGGAAUUACUGGGCGUAAAGCGCGCGUAGGCGGUAUGUCAAGUCAAGGGUGAAAUCCCCGCGCUCAACGUGGGAACUGCCUUUGAACCUGGCAAACUGGAGUGUGUGAGCGGUUAGUGGAAUUCCCGGUGUAGUAG
rnacentral:rRNA from 1 species